ACCCUCUGGUUUCUUUUUCCAUAGGAUGUCAAGAUGGCCUCCAUGGAUAUAUAGAAGGGGGAGGAACACUGUGAAGUAAGCCUCAUAGCACAGAAGUCUGACAUGGAGCAUGUGAGAUUGAUUCAAGGAGUU
ensembl:snoRNA predicted gene, 24237